AGCAGCCGCGGUAAUUCCAGCUCCAAUAGCGUAUAUUAAAGUUGUUGCAGUUAAAAAACUCGUAGUUGAAUUUCGGGAUCAAUUUGUUGGUCGUACCUUGGUACGUACUGACAUUAUUGGUUUCUCCCUUCUGAGAAUCCUUGAUGUCAUUAAUUUGGUGUCUUGGGGAAUCAGGACUGUUACCUUGAAAAAAUUAGAGUGUUUAAAGCAGGCAUACGCUUGAAUACAUUAGCAUGGAAUAAUGAAAUAGGACGUUCGAUUCUAUUUUGUUGGUUUCUAGGAUCGAUGUAAUGAUUAAUAGGGAUAGUUGGGGGCAUUAGUAUUCAAUUGUCAGAGGUGAGAUUCUUGGAUUUAUUGAAGACUAACUACUGCGAAAGCAUUUGCCAAGGAUGUUUUCAUUAAUCAAGAACGAAAGUUAGGGAUCGAAGACGAUCAGAUACCGUCGUAGUCUUAACCAUAAACCUAUAGCCGACUAGGGAUCGGAUG
rnacentral:rRNA from 1 species